rnacentral:lncRNA from 1 species
AUGCCCCCAAUAUCUACUCAUGGAAACCAAGAGAAAGGUCCCCAUUUGCCACCACCAAGCAAGCAGAGACUGUUGUUUUAUCCAAAAUCAAACUGCACAUCCACAGAGGAGAGAUUUCAAACAUUAUAAGAGGAUGUCAAGAAGAAAGUUUCUGGAAGAGAGCUCUGCCUUUUUCUCCUGUAAGCAUGCUCAUCACCCAGGGACUAGUCUGCCAAGGUUAUUUAGCAGCUAAUCCAAGAUUUGGAUCAUUGCCUGAAGUUACACUUGUUGGUAUAUUGGGAUUGGCCUUGGAAAGGUAUCAUACAUAAGAGUAUGCCAGAGUAAAUUCCAUUUCUUUGAAGAUCAGCUCCAUGGGGCUGAUUUUGGUCCACAGCAGAACAGGCACUGAUUGCUUACCUGUGAAGAAUGCAAAAUAAAGCAUGGAUUCAAUGAGAAGAGAAGUUCACAGCCUUUGGCU